GCCUGGCUAGCUCAAUUGGUAGAGCAUGGGACUCAUAAUCCCAGGGUCAUGGGUUUGAGCCCCACCCUGGGCG